rnacentral:lncRNA from 1 species
GAUAUUAAGGAUUUAAAAAUAUUUUAAGUUAUAACUAAUGACUUUUAAUAUUUGGAUGAAUAGUACAUUAAUAUAUAUAUAUAAUAAUGGUGAUUAUUUAAAAAUGAUUUUAAUUGUUUUAAAAAUCAUUUAAGGGUAAUAUAAAUGUUUUAAAAAUAGUUUGAGUUAUUAUAAAUAACUUUUAUAUUUUGGCAAUGGUUUCAUUAAUAGUUUAAUAUAAAUUAAUUAUUAAUGAUAAUGGAAUUGUUUAAUGUUUAAGUCAUUUAAUUAUGAUUCCGAUGUUUGAAAGUUAUAGCCGGCCAAACUAGCUGACUAGAGAACCGGUUAUGAAGUCCAGGAUUUGAUGAAGAGCACCCAUAGUAACAGUUAUAUCACUAUAAGCCCUUGAGUGACAGGUUUGAUUUAUUUUAAAUUUUUUAAUUUCAGGAAAAUUCGAAAAUGAUUAAAAGUAAAAUGUCUGAUAUUUACAGAUGUUGAGGUAUAGAAUAAGAGUCUUAGACUCAGUAUUUACCCGAUAAAGCUGUCGGUACGCCGAUAAAUGUCAGACCCUAUUAUAGAAAGAAAAGGCU